AUGAUUGAAAUGCAAAGACGUGGUAAGUGUUAUGUUAUAAAGUCUAUAUGAUUUCAUGAUGAUGAUAAUGUUAUUGCUUUCAUAUGUUGUUUUCAUGGAUCUCGGUAGUUAAGUGGACAGUAAAGGUUUUUAUGUUAAUAAACGAGUUUGUUAUAAAUUAUGCUCCAUUUGUCAUUUUUGUUUUCUACCCACCUUUACUUCCGUGGCGGUGAGAUAGUGUGAUGUCUUUACUGGACUGGUGUAACUCAUUCCUUAUUUAACCAU
rnacentral:lncRNA from 1 species